rnacentral:rRNA from 1 species
AUGCAUGAUCAGGUCGCCCUGGACUUGGACGGCUUCCCGCUCGACCACGAGUUUCUGGAGGACUACGGACUCGAGGAAGAGGAUGAGUUGGACAUCGAAGGGGAGCCUUUGUUCGAGGACGAGCUGGCCAACCAAGCCACCGGGGGGAAGCCAAAGUGCAAGAGCAGGUGGACGAAGACAUACACGGUGGUCGAGGACAACCUCCUUUGCGAGUGUUGGAGGGACAUUGGGCAAGACCCCAAGACCGGUACCGAACAAAAGGCAUCAACCUUUUGGACUCCUGUCCAUCGUGAGUUCCAUGAGCGCAAGAAGUUUCCGCCGUACCAAAUGCAAAGCACGCGCGGAUGUGUGUCCAUUUCGAAGCGUUGGAAGGUGAUCGAACAAGAGUGCAACAAGUUUUGUGCCACUCUUGAGAGCAUCAAGGCAAGCCCCGUGAGCAGCAUCGGCAUGCAAGACAUGGUAUGCUAG